rnacentral:rRNA from 1 species
AGUGAACGCUGGCGGUAGGCCUAACACAUGCAAGUCGAACGGCAGCACAGUAAGAGCUUGCUCUUACGGGUGGCGAGUGGCGGACGGGUGAGGAAUGCAUCGGAAUCUACUUUUUCGUGGGGGAUAACGUAGGGAAACUUACGCUAAUACCGCAUACGACCUACGGGUGAAAGCAGGGGAUCUUCGGACCUUGCGCGAUUGAAUGAGCCGAUGUCGGAUUAGCUAGUUGGCGGGGUAAAGGCCCACCAAGGCGACGAUCCGUAGCUGGUCUGAGAGGAUGAUCAGCCACACUGGAACUGAGACACGGUCCAGCCUCCUACGGGAGGCAGCAGUGGGGAAUAUUGGACAAUGGGCGCAAGCCUGAUCCAGCCAUACCGCGUGGGUGAAGAAGGCCUUCGGGUUGUAAAGCCCUUUUGUUGGGAAAGAAAAGCAGCAGGUUAAUACCCCGCUGUUCUGACGGUACCCAAAGAAUAAGCACCGGCUAACUUCGUG